rnacentral:rRNA from 1 species
UGGGGAAUUUUGGACAAUGGGCGAAAGCCUGAUCCAGCAAUGCCGCGUGUGUGAAGAAGGCCUUCGGGUUGUAAAGCACUUUUGUCCGGAAAGAAAUCCUUGGCUCUAAUACAGUCGGGGGAAUGACGGUACCGGAAGAAUAAGCACCGGCUAACUACGUGCCAGCAGCCGCGGUAAUACGUAGGGUGCAAGCGUUAAUCGGAAUUACUGGGCGUAAAGCGUGCGCAGGCGGUUUGCUAAGACCGAUGUGAAAUCCCCGGGCUCAACCUGGGAACUGCAUUGGUGACUGGCAGGCUAGAGUAUGGCAGAGGGGGGUAGAAUUCCACGUGUAGCAGUGAAAUGCGUAGAGAUGUGGAGGAAUACCGAUGGCGAAGGCAGCCCCCUGGGCCAAAUACUGACGCUCAUGCACGAAAGCGUGGGGAGCAAACAGGAUUAGAUACCCUGGUAGUCCACGCCCUAAAACGAUGUCAACUAGUUGUUGGGGAUUCAUUUCCUUAGUAACGUAGCUAACGCGUGAAGUUGACCGCCUGGGGAGUACGGUCGCAAGAUUAAAACUCAAAGGGAAUUGACGGGGUCAUAGCUGUUUCCU